UACUAGUACAAGUAGAUUUCCUUGCAAUCCAGUGUAAGGUAGUACCAGUAGACCAAAAGUGGCACUAAUAGUAGGGGCCGGGGGGACGAUGACAUGAUUAAGUCGUUCUACAUGUGCACCCUGCAUUGGUCUUCUGCUAUGAAGGACAAAGAGUGUACUAAUAAAUUGAUCUUAUA